AUUGAACGCUGGCGGCAUGCUUUACACAUGCAAGUCGAACGGCAGCGCGGGCUUCGGCCUGGCGGCGAGUGGCGAACGGGUGAGUAAUACAUUGGAACGUGUCCAGUAGUGGGGGAUAGCUCGGCGAAAGCAGGAGUAAUACCGCAUACGACCUGAGGGUGAAAGCGGGGGAUCUUCGGACCUCGCGCGAUGGGAGCGGCCGAUGGCAGAUUAGCUAGUUGGUGGGGUAAAGGCCUACCAAGGCGACGAUCUGUAGCUGGUCUGAGAGGACGACCAGCCACACGGGAACUUGGCCACGGCCCAGACUCCUACGGUAGGCAGCAGUGGGGAAUUUUGGACAAUGGGCGAAAGCCUGAUCCAGCAAUGCCGCGUGUGUGAUGAAGGCCUUCGGGUUGUAAAGCACUUUUGGCGGGAACGAAAAGGACUGUGCCAAUACCACGGUUGGAUGACGGUACCCGCAGAAUAAGCACCGGCUAACUACGUG
rnacentral:rRNA from 1 species